UAGGGAAUAUUAGUAAUGGGCGAAAGCCUGAACUAGCAACGCCGCGUGUGCGAAGAAGGCCUUCGGGUUGUAAAGCACUUUUUGAGAGGAUGAGGAAGGACGGUACUCUCAGAAUAAGUCUCGGCUAACUACGUGCCAGCAGCCGCGGUAACACGUAGGAGGCGAACGUUAUCCGGAUUUACUGGGCGUAAAGCGCAUGUAGGUGGUUUGGUAAGUAGGGCGUGAAAGCUCCUGGCUCAACUGGGAGAGGCCGUUCUAAACUGCCGAACUAGAGGAUGGUAGAGGGAGGUGGAAUUCCGGGUGUGGCGGUGGAAUGCGCAGAUAUCCGGAGGAACACCAGUGGCGAAAGCGGCCUCCUGGACCAUUCCUGACACUCAGACGCGAAAG
rnacentral:rRNA from 1 species